rnacentral:tRNA from 1 species
GGAGGCGUGGGUGAGAUGGAUUAAACCACGAGAUUGCUAAUUUCGCGAAGGCGCAAGCCUUCCAUCAGUUCGAAUCUGAUCGCCUCCGCCA